rnacentral:rRNA from 1 species
GUGAGUAACGCGUGGGAACGUGCCCUUUGGUACGGAACAACUGAGGGAAACUUGUGCUAAUACCGGAUGUGCCCUUCGGGGGAAAGAUUUAUCGCCAUUGGAGCGGCCCGCGUUGGAUUAGGUAGUUGGUGGGGUAAAGGCCCACCAAGCUAACGAUCUGUAGCUGGUCUGAGAGGACGACCAGCCACACUGGGACUGAGACACGGCCCAGACUCCUACGGGAGGCAGCAGUGGGGAAUUUUGGACAAUGGGCGCAAGCCUGAUCCAGCAAUGCCGCGUGCAGGAAGAAGGCCUUCGGGUUGUAAACUGCUUUUGUACGGAACGAAACGGUCUGGGUUAAUACCCUGGACUAAUGACGGUACCGUAAGAAU